rnacentral:rRNA from 1 species
CAGUAGCCGCGGGAAUACAGAGGGUGCAAGCGUUAAUCGGAGUUACUGGGCGUAAAGGGCGCGUAGGCGGUUAUAUAAGUGAGAUGUGAAAUCCCUGGGCUUAACCUAGGAACUGCAUCUUAUACUGUAUGGCUAGAGUAUUGUAGAGGGUAGUGGAAUUUCCGGUGUAGCGGUGAAAUGCGUAGAGAUCGGAAGGAACACCAGUGGCGAAGGCGGCUACCUGGACAAAUACUGACGCUGAGGCGCGAAAGCGUGGGGAGCAAACAGGAUUAGAUACCCGAGUAGUCCCUGUCUCUUAUAC